rnacentral:misc_RNA from 1 species
AAGUCGUAACAAGGUUUCCGUAGGUGAACCUGCGGAAGGAUCAUUACCGAGUUAGGGUCCUCUGGGCCCGACCUCCCAACCCUUUGUCGUUACCACCUCAGUUGCUUCGGCGGGCCCUGCCUCGAAAGAGGCACGCCGGAGGGGCGUGAAACCCCUUCUGGUCAGUUGCUCGCCGGUAGCACCAACCAUCAAAACUUGCAGUUGAUAACAUUGUCUGAUUACCAAAUUUUCGAAUGAAAAUCAAAACUUUCAACAACGGAUCUCUUGGCUCUC